UACGGGAGGCAGCAGUGGGGAAUAUUGCACAAUGGGCGCAAGCCUGAUGCAGCCAUGCCGCGUGUAUGAAGAAGGCCUUCGGGUUGUAAAGUACUUUCAGUCGUGAGGAAGGUGUUAAGGUUAAUAACCUUAGCAAUUGACGUUAGCGACAGAAGAAGCACCGGCUAACUCCGUGCCAGCAGCCGCGGUAAUACGGAGGGUGCGAGCGUUAAUCGGAAUUACUGGGCUAAAGGGCACGCAGGCGGUUAAUAAGUUGGAUGUGAAAUCCCCGGGCUUAACCUGGGAAUGGCAUUCAAGACUGGUUAGCUAGAGUCUUGUAGAGGGGGUAGAAUUCCAUGUGUAGCGGUGAAAUGCGUAGAGAUGUGGAGGAAUACCGGUGGCGAAGGCGGCCCCUGGGACAAAGGACUGACGCUCAUGUGCGAAAGCGUGGGGAGCAAACAGGGAUUAGAUACC
rnacentral:rRNA from 1 species